GAUGAACGCUGGCGGCGUGCCUAAUACAUGCGAGUCGAGCGAACAGACGAGGAGCUUGCUCCUCUGACGUUAGCGGCGGACGGGUGAGUAACACGUGGAUAACCUACCUAUAAGACUGGGAUAACUUCGGGAAACCGGAGCUAAUACCGGAUAAUAUAUUGAACCGCAUGGUUCAAUAGUGAAAGACGGUUUUGCUGUCACUUAUAGAUGGAUCCGCGCCGCAUUAGCUAGUUGGUAAGGUAACGGCUUACCAAGGCAACGAUGCGUAGCCGACCUGAGAGGGUGAUCGCCCACACUGGAACUGAGACACGGUCCAGACUCCUACGGGAGGCAGCAGUAGGCAAUCUUCCGCAAUGGGCGAAAGCUUGACGGAGCAACGCCGCGUGAGUGAUGAAGGUCUUCGGAUCGUAAAACUCUGUUAUUAGGGAAGAACAAAUGUGUAAGUAACUAUGCACGUCUUGACGGUACCUAAUCAGAAAGCCACGGCUAACUACGUG
rnacentral:rRNA from 1 species